UUGGAGGGCAAGUCUGGUGCCAGCAGCCGCGGUAAUUCCAGCUCCAAUAGCGUAUAUUAAAGUUGUUGCAGUUAAAAAGCUCGUAGUUGAAUUUCGGGAUCAAAUUGUCGGUCGUGCCUCGGUACGCACUGGUAUUAUUGGUUCCUACCUUCUGAAGAACCGCGAUGUCAUUAGUUUGGUGUCGUGGGGAAUCAGGACUGUUACUUUGAAAAAAUUAGAGUGUUUAAAGCAGGCUUACGCUUGAAUACAUUAGCAUGGAAUAAUGAAAUAGGACGUUUGAUUCUAUUUUGUUGGUUUCUAGGAUUGACGUAAUGAUUAAUAGGGAUAGUUGGGGGCAUUAGUAUUCAAUUGUCAGAGGUGAAAUUCUUGGAUUUAUUGAAGACUAACUACUGCGAAAGCAUUUGCCAAGGAUGUUUUCAUUAAUCAAGAACGAAAGUUAGGGGAUCGAAGACGAUCAGAUACCGUCGUAGUCUUAACCAUAAACUAUGCCGACUAGGGAUCGGAUGAUGUUAAUUUUUUAAUGACUCAUUCGGCGCCUUACGGGAAAC
rnacentral:rRNA from 1 species